rnacentral:rRNA from 1 species
AGAGUUUGAUCCUGGCUCAGAAUCAACGCUGGCGGCGUGCCUAACACAUGCAAGUCGAACGAGAAAGGGACUUCGGUCCUGAGUACAGUGGCGCACGGGUGAGUAACACGUGACUAACCUACCCUGGAGUGGGGAAUAACUGAGGGAAACCUUAGCUAAUACCGCAUAAUACCUACGGGUCAAAGGAGCAAUUCGCUUCAGGAGGGGGUCGCGGCCGAUUAGCUAGUUGGCGGGGUAAUGGCCCACCAAGGCAAUGAUCGGUAUCCGGCCUGAGAGGGCGCACGGACACACUGGAACUGAAACACGGUCCAGACUCCUACGGGAGGCAGCAGUGGGGAAUUUUGCGCAAUGGGGGAAACCCUGACGCAGCAACGCCGCGUGGAGGAUGAAAUCCCUUGGGAUGUAAACUCCUUUCGAUCGGGACGAUUAUGACGGUACCGGAAGAAGAAGCCCCGGCUAACUUCGUGCCAGCAGCCGCGGUAAUACGAGGGGGGCAAGCGUUGUUCGGAAUUAUUGGGCGUAAAGGGAGUGUAGGCGGUUUGGUAAGUCGUGUGUGAAAUCUUCGGGCUCAACCCGAAGUCUGCACUCGAAACUGCCGGGCUUGAGUAUGGGAGAGGUGAGUGGAAUUCCUGGUGUAGCGGUGAAAUGCGUAGAUAUCAGGAGGAACACCUGUGGCGAAAGCGGCUCACUGGACCAUUACUGACGCUGAGACUCGAAAGCUAGGGGAGCAAACAGGAUUAGAUACCCNNGUAGUCC